rnacentral:rRNA from 1 species
CCUACGGGAGGCUGCAGUGGGGAAUAUUGGACAAUGGGCGAAAGCCUGAUCCAGCCAUGCCGCGUGUGUGAAGAAGGCCUUCGGGUUGUAAAGCACUUUCAGUGGGGAAGAAAGCCUUGGGGCUAAUACCCUCGAGGAAGGACAUCACCAACAGAAGAAGCACCGGCUAACUCCGUGCCAGCAGCCGCGGUAAUACGGAGGGUGCGAGCGUUAAUCGGAAUUACUGGGCGUAAAGCGCGCGUAGGCGGUCUGAUAAGCCGGUUGUGAAAGCCCCGGGCUCAACCUGGGAACGGCAUCCGGAACUGUCAGGCUAGAGUGCAGGAGAGGAAGGUAGAAUUCCCGGUGUAGCGGUGAAAUGCGUAGAGAUCGGGAGGAAUACCAGUGGCGAAGGCGGACUUCUGGACUGACACUGACGCUGAGGUGCGAAAGCGUGGGUAGCAAACAGGAUUAGAUACCCGAGUAGUC